rnacentral:rRNA from 1 species
CCUACGGGAGGCAGCAGUGAGGAAUAUUGGUCAAUGGACGCAAGUCUGAACCAGCCAUGCAGCGUGCAGGAAGACGGCCCUAUGAGUUGUAAACUGCUUUUGUACGAGGGUAAAGGGAGGUACGCGUGUCUGUUUGAAAGUAUUGUAUGAAUAAGGAUCGGCUAACUCCGUGCCAGCAGCCGCGGUAAUACGGAGGAUUCGAGCGUUAUCCGGAUUUAUUGGGUUUAAAGGGUGCGUAGACGGGCGGUUAAGUUAGUGGUGAAAUCUCGAGGCUCAACCUCGGAAUUGCCUUUGAUACUGUUCGGCUAGAGUGUAGUUGCGGUAGGCGGAAUGUAUGGUGUAGCGGUGAAAUGCUUAGAGAUCAUGCAGAACACCGAUUGCGAAGGCAGCUUACCAAGCUACUUCUGACGUUGAGGUACGAAAGCGUGGGGAGCAAACAGGAUUAGAUACCCCUGUAGUC